UAAAAGAUCAAAAGCAAAGAGGGCCCCCAAGCAUCACAGUUUUAAUUCAAAGAUAAAUGGCUGAAAAGAAGCUAAUGACCAAGGUCCUGCGGAGCACCAUUGUCUGGCCAUCUGUCACUGCACCCUCUCAGUGUAAUGUGUCAGCUUGCUCAGUUGAAUUUCCAUCUGAUGCCAUGCUCUAUGAGGCAGCUGAAAGACAGUCAAACUCCACAGAUAUGAGAUUUGUUUUGAUCCCGUGUGGUUAGUUCUGCAAGAAAACCGUGUCUAUGAAAUGUACUUACCUUGACAGAUGAAUCCUACUGAAUCCACCGUAGUCAACACAUCCUAGUAAGUUGUACAUGAAUUGCCAAUUCAGAUGAAUGACUUCCUCAUAACUUAAAUGCUAGCCCAUGGAUAAAGGUUUCCUCAUCGGAAGACAAUAAUUAUCUGUUAAAAAAAGUGAACAGCAAACUGGGACAAAAUCUGCAAGUUAAACAGCUGUUGGAAAAUAACUUUAUUGGAAUGUGUAUUUGUCCAAAAUUCAGACAGGAAUUUCAGGUGUACAGAGUUUCAAAAAUCAUAAGUUUAGACUAGAUGACAACAGACUAGAAAUUGUAUGUAAUGUUCAAAUGUGGCAAUAUUGCCUGUUAUCCCAGUCAGGGCUACAGUACAGCAAAUCAUUAAAUACAAAGCCAAAGUAAACACUGCAACACAAGCAUACAGAUCAGUCCUUGCUUUAAACUAUAGUAGCACCACCAAAACAAGUAUUAAGAAAAUGUUGUAAGGAGUAAUCAAACUGAAAGCAAAACUCUUUGUAAAACUCCUAAGUAAGCUAGUUGUGACGCUGCUCUGCUUACGUCUUGUAUUGGGAAAGGCUCCAGCUAGGAACUGUUCGCUAUGCCUGAGCUUUAUACCUGCCUUCUGCCCCGUCCCGCCUGCAGGAAAAGCUCUUCAUAUAAAACUGCAGAGGCCACAGGUGACAGACAAAUUGCUCUUGAAUGGGUCUUGCAAGCUGGGCCCUGUAACUCUUCAUGGGAGGAGCAGCUGUGUGUUGAACAAUAUAUUAUUACUUUCUAGAAUGUCUAUACAGGAUAGUUCUGCUUUGCAUAUUUUUUAUUUUUUUAAUAGGUGUUGAUUUGUUUUUGACGUUGUUUUAUGUAAUUUUUUAUUAUGUUAUCAGCUGCUUUAAAUAAAUACCUUGGAAAGAUACUGUGCA
rnacentral:lncRNA from 1 species